GCUGGCGGCGUGCUUAACACAUGCAAGUCGAGUGCGCGUUCCUGUAGCAAUACAGGAAUGGCGCACGGCGCACGGGUGCGUAACACGUGGGUAAUCUGCCCUCUGAUGGGGAAUAACCCGCCGAAAGGCGGGCUAAUUCCGCAUAACAUUCCUUGGACCCCGGUUCGAGGAUUCAAAGGCGUAAGUCGUCGGAGGUGGAGCCCGCGCACGAUUAGCUAGUUGGUAGGGUAACGGCCUACCAAGGCUAUGAUCGUUAGCUGGUCUGAGAGGAUGGCCAGCCACACUGGAACUGAGACACGGUCCAGACUCCUACGGGAGGCAGCAGUGGGGAAUCUUGCACAAUGGGCGAAAGCCUGAUGCAGCGACGCCGCGUGGGGGAUGAAGCUUCUCGGAGUGUAAACCCCUUUCGACCCGGACGAAUGCCCCGCAAGGGGAGUGACGGUACGGGUAUAAGAAGCCCCGGCUAACUACGUGCCAGCAGCCGCGGUAAGACGUAGGGGGCCAGCGUUGUUCGGAAUUACUGGGUGUAAAGGGUUCGUAGGCGGUGUGGCAAGUUGGGA
rnacentral:rRNA from 1 species